UGGGGAAUCUUGGACAAUGGGGGCAACCCUGAUCCAGCCAUGCCGCGUGUGUGAAGAAGGCCUUCGGGUUGUAAAGCACUUUCAGCAGGGAGGAAGGCUUUGGGCUAAUACCCUGGAGUACUUGACGUUACCUGCAGAAGAAGCACCGGCUAAUUUCGUGCCAGCAGCCGCGGUAAUACGAAAGGUGCAAGCGUUAAUCGGAAUUACUGGGCGUAAAGCGCGCGUAGGCGGUGUGUUAAGUCGGAUGUGAAAGCCCAGGGCUCAACCUUGGAAUUGCAUCCGAUACUGGCACGCUAGAGUGCAGUAGAGGGAGGUGGAAUUUCCGGUGUAGCGGUGAAAUGCGUAGAGAUCGGAAGGAACACCAGUGGCGAAGGCGGCCUCCUGGACUGACACUGACGCUGAGGUGCGAAAGCGUGGGGAGCAAACAGGAUUAGAUACCCCGGUA
rnacentral:rRNA from 1 species